rnacentral:rRNA from 1 species
AUUGAACGCUGGCGGCAGGCCUAACACAUGCAAGUCGAACGGUAACAGGGUUCGGGUUGCUGAUUACCUGACGCGAGGCGGACGGGGGAGUAGAGUCCGGCAGACUCUCUGAUUGAGGGGGGGAACUAGUGGAGAAGGUAGCUAAUACCGCAUAACCUCGCAAGAGGUAAGAGGAGGACCUUCUGGCACCUUGCCCUCGGGUGUGCGCAGAUGGGGUUAGCUAGUAGGUGGGGUAACGGGGCACCUAGGCGACGAUCCCUAGCUGGUCUGAGAGGAUGACCAGCCACACUGGAACUGAGACACGGUCCAGACUCCUACGGGAGGCAGCAGUGGGGAAUAUUGGACAAUGGGCGCAAGCCUGAUGCAGCCAUGCCGCGUGUAUGAAGAAGGCCUUCGGGUUGUAAAGUACUUUCGUCGGGGAGGAAGGGAGCAAAGUUAAUACCUUGCCUCAUUGACGGUACCCGCAGAAGAAGCACCGGCUAACUCCGUG